ensembl:lncRNA
UAUUUUACUUAUUUUCAGAGAGUGUAUUAUUUUUGCUAUUCUUACCAGUUAAGUUAUUCUUUUUAUUAUGCUAUAUAAAAUAUUUAAUGGUAUAUAAGGCUUUCUUCUUUAUAAAUUUUAGUUGCACAAUAUACACAAUUUUAAUAUAAUGCUAAUUUUUAAAGAAAAAUUGAAAUGUAGUAGAUAAUACUAAAUAGUAAAGAUGAAAGCCAUACAAAAUGGGAUAAAGCAUAGAAUAAAUUUCCUAUUUGUCUCAGCAUAUUUUCCAUUCCACUUCUCCAGAGGGAGUUAAUCUGUUUCUUAAGAUCCAUGAUAUAAAAUCUGUGUGAAUGUAAUUGUGUUUAAAUAUAUGUAUUUUAUUCUGUAAAAAAAAAAAAAUUAAAAAAAAUAAACCAUAAAAAAAACCACCUUUUUUAGAAAUGAAAGGUUAUGGCAACCCUAUGUCAAGCAAAUCUAUCAGUACCACUUUUCCAACAGCAUUUGCCCUAUUUCGUAUCACUGCGUCACAUUUUAUUCUCGCAAUAGUUCUAACAUUUUAUUAUAUUGGUUAUAGAGAUCUAUGAUCAGUAAUCUUUGAUGUUACUAUUGUAAUUCUUUUGGGGCACCACAAACUGCACCUAAAUAAGACAGUAAACUUAAGCGAUAAAUGUAUGUUCUGCCUCAUCCACUGCCCCGCUGUUCUCCAUCUCUCUCUUUCUCCUUGGGCUUCCCUUUUCCCCAAGACACAGUAAUACUGAAAUUAGGCCAACUAAUAGCCCUACAAUGGCCUCUAAAUGUCAAAUGAAAGGAAAAGUCCUAGUUUCUCACUUAAAAUCAAAACCUAUGACUAAGCUUAGUGAGGAGGGCAUAUCAAAAACCAAGAUAGGCCAAAAGCUAGGCCUUUUGCAUUAAACAGCUAUGUUGUGAAUUAUUGCUCAUGCUGGAUAGAAGACAAACCAGCUAUAACUUUCCCUUAAGCCAAUCUUAAGCCACAGCAAGGCCCUAACUCUUCAAUCUCAUCAAACCUGUGAAGACUGAGCAAGGUGAGGAAGCUAUACAAGAAAAGUUUAGAGGCUGGUUCACGAGGUUUAAGUUUAAAGCAGCAAGUGCUGAUGUACAAGCCGCAGCAAUUUAGAUUCCGCAGCUCCAGCUAAGAUAAAUAACUGAACAGAUUUUCAAUGUAAACAAAACAGCCUUAAAUUGGAAGAAGACACCAACUAGGACUUUUAUAAGUCAGGCUUCAAAAGAAAGGCUGACUCUCUUGUUAAGGGUUAAUGCAGCUGGUGACUUGAAAUUUAAGUCAAUUCUCAUUUACCAUUUCAAAAAUCCUAGCACCCUUAAAAGUUAUGCUCAAUCUACUCUUGCAGAACUCUAUAAAUGGAGCAACAAAGUCUUAACAGCAGAUGUCUAUGGAUAACAUGGUUUACUAAAUAUUUUAAGCCACUGUUGAGACCUACUGCUCAGAAAAAGGUUCCUUUCAAAAUAUUAUUGCUCACUAACCGCACCUGGUCACCCAAGCGUUCUGAUGGAGAGGUACAACAAAACUAGACAGAUACCAUUCUGCAGCCCAUGGAUAAGGAAUCAUUUCAAUAUUCAAGUCUUAUUACUUAAGAAAUAUAGUAGAUAAAGAUUCCUGAGAUGGAUCUGGGCAAAGUCCACUAAAAGCCUCUGGAAAAGAUUCACCAUUCUAAAUAUUCAUGAUUCAGGGGAAGAGGUCAAAAUAUCAAAUUAAUGGGGGUUUGGAAGAAGUUGAUUCCAACCUUCACAGAUAAUCAGGGGUUCAAGACUUUAUUGGAGGAAGUAACUACAGAUAUGGUAGAAAUAGCAAGAGAACUAGAAUUAGAAAUGGAGCCUUAAGAUGUGAUCAAACUGCUGAAAUCUCAAGAUAAAACUUUAACGGAUGAGGAGCCGCUUCUUAUGGAUGAACAAAGAAAGAAGUUUCUUGAGAUGGAAACUACUCUUGGUAAAGAUGCUGUGAAAACUGCUGAAAUGACAACAAAGUAUUUGGAACACUAUAUAUAUAAACUUAAGUUGAUAAAGCAGCAGCAAGGUUUGAGAAGACUGACUCCAAUUCUGAAAGAAGUUCUACUGUGAGUAAAACGCUAUCAAACAGCAUUGCAUGCUACAGAGAAACCAUGUGUGAACGUCAAUUGAUGUGGCAAGCUUCAUUGUUGUCUUAUUUUAAGCGACUGCCACAAUCACCCUAGCCUUGCAACCACCACCCUGAUCAUCAACAAUGAGGCAAGACCUUCCAUGAGCAAAAAGAUCAAAACUCAAUGAAGGCUCAGAUGAUGGUUAGUAUUUUUUUUUUAGCAAUAAAUUAUUUUUAAAUUAAGAUAUGUACAUUAUUUUAGACAUAAUGGUGUUGUACAGUUAAUAAACUAUAAUAUAGUGUAUAACUUUAAGUAUACUGGGAAACCAAAAAAAUCAUGUGACUUGAUUUAUUGUGAUAUUUGUUUCAUACCAUGGUGGUUGGGAACAAACCUGCACUAUCUCAGAGGUAUGCCAGUAGUCUCAAUAGCCAAAAGAUAAAAGCAACCCAAGUGUCUAUCAAUAGAUGGAUAAGCAAAAUGUGGUAUAUACAAACAAUGGAAGAUCAUUCAGCUUUAAGAAGGAAAUUCUGACACAUGCUAUAAGAUGAACCUCAAGGAUAUUAUGCUAAGUGAAAUAAGAAGCCAGUUAUUAAAAAGACAAAUACUGAAAGAUUUCACUUAUAUAAUAUUUAUAGUAGUCAGUCAGAUAGACGGAAAGUAGAAUGGUGGUUGCCAAGGACUGGGGAGAAGGAAUGGAGACUUUUUGUUUAAUGGGCACAGAGUUUCAGUUUUACAAGAUGAAAAGAGAUGGAUACACAUUAUGAAAUUAAAAAUUUUAAAUUGUUGAGAUAUUAAAUUAUGCCUAUUUUACCACAAAAAAGUGGGGGGGGGAACUUAUUUGAAAUAGAUCACAGAGCUAAAUACAAAAGGUAAAACUUUAAAACUUCUAGAAGAAAAAUUACAAAACAAGAUCUUUGUGGAGUUUCCUGGUGGCUCAGUGAGUUAAGGAUUCAGCACUGCCUCAGGUUACUGCUUUGGAGAGAGUCUGACCCCUGGCCUGGGAACUUCUACAUGCCAAAGGCACAGGCAAAAAAAAGAUCUUUGUGACUUUGGGGCAGGCAAGAAAUUUAUUAGGUAGGACACAAAAAAGGAUCAAUCAUAAAAUGAAAAGUAACCCAGACUUCCUCAAAAUUUUAAAUUUCUGCUGUUUGAAAUAUACCAACAAGAAAACGAAAAGGUAAGCUGCUGAGAGAAAAUAUUCACAAUACCUCAGAAAGAACUUAUAUCUUAAAUAUAUGAAGAACUGUUGACUCAAUAAUAAGAAAACCAAUUUUAAAAUGGGCAAAAGAUUUGAAAGACACUUCAUAAAAGAUGUACAAAUGAGCAAUAAGCACAUGAAAAAUUGCUCAACAUCAUUAGUCUUCAGGGGAAUGCAAAUUAAACUGUAAUGAGAUACAGCAACAUAUGCACUAGAAUGGUUAAAAUGUGUUCAUAGGGAUAUAAAGUAACUGGCUCUUCUACAUUGCUGGUGGGAAUGUAAAAUGGCACAACCACUUUGCCAUUAUCUGUCAGUUUCUCCUAUAGGUAAAUGCCCACUUCCCUUAUAAUUCAAGAGAAAAAUUUCCCAGAGAAAUGAAAAUGUAUCUACAGAAAGACUUCAGCACAAAUAUUCAUAGUAGCUUUGUUUAUAACUGCCAAAUAUUGGGAGAACCCAAAAGUCCAUCACCAAGUAAAUGGGUAAACAAAAUCUGAUAUAGCCAUAGAAAAGAAUGUCAUUCUGCAAUGAAAAGGACUGAACUACACAACAUUAAUGAAUCUCAAAAUCAAAAACAUGCUGAGUGUAAGAAGACAUACCAUAGUAAUCCAUUGGUAUCCACAGGAAAUUGGUUCCAGUACUGGCGUCGAAUACCAAAAUCCAUGGAUGCUCAAGUCCCACAGCGGACCCUCCCAUCUUUGAGGUCACGCAUCUGUGCAUUCAACCAAAAAGGAUUGUGCAGGAUUGUAUUUACUAUUGAAAUAAAUAUGUGCAUAAAUGGGCCUGUGCAGAUCAAAACCAUGUUGUUCAAGUGUCAACUGUAUAUUCAACGAUAUGAAAUUCUAGAAAAGGCAAGUCUAAUUUAGUUACAGAGAGCAAUUCUGCACAUGCUUGAGGCUGGGAGUGUGGGGGAACUGACUAGAAAGGGGCAAAGGAAACCUUUUAGAGCAAUGGAAAUGUCAUGUAUCUUGUUUGUGGUAAGGAUUACAAGAAGUAUAUAUACUUGACAAAACACUUCAAAUUGUACACUUAAAAUGAGUGCAUUUUACUGUAUGUACAUUUCAGCUCAGUAAAGGUGAUUAACAUCUUUUCCACAUAAGAAAACAUAAGAUUUCUUCUUCAUAAAAACAGGGACAGGAGUUCCUGUUGUGGUGCAGCAGAAACGAAUCUGACUUGGAACCAUGAGGUUGUGGGUUCCAUCCCUGGCCUCGCUCAGUGGGUUAAGGAUCUGGCGAAGGUGUGAGCUGUGGUGUAGGUCGCAGAUGCUGCUCAGAUCCUGCCUUGCUAUGGCUGGGGUGUAGGCCAGCAGCUGUAGCUCUGAUUAGACCCCUAGCCUAGGAACCUCCAAAUGCCGCCAAUGUGGCCCUAAAAAGCAAAAAAACAAAACAAAACAAAAAACCCCAGGAAUAAUAAUAGCACCUAUUUUACAUAUAUUGUGAUGAGUAAAUAGGUCAUAUGAAACACUUAAGACUUGGCAUAUAGGAAAAAAACCCAAAAUGUUAGCGGGAUAAAAUUUUCUUAAAUAACUCUUGUACAAGAGUCACUAUAAACCAGUGGUUCUCAACCAGGGACAGUUCUGUCCCCCAAGGGAUACUGGGGGCAAUUUCUGGAGACAUUUUGGAUUGUUGUGACUAGAGGGAUGCUACUGGCACCUAGUGGAUAGAGGUCAGGGAUGUCGCUAAACAUUCUACAAGGUACAGAACAGUCUCCACAACAAAGAAUUAUCUGAUGGGAAAUGUCAAUACUAGAUAGAGAAAUCUUGCUGUAAACAAAGUAACACAAUAAUCCACAUAUGGAAAGAAAAUAUAUAAAGUGCAUGUAAUCCACAUGGAAUUUCUAGUCCAAAAUGACAUAUCUUCUACAAAUCAAAAAGAAAAAUUAAAACCAAGAGGAAAAUGAGCAAAGAAUAAGAUCACAGCCAGUAAACAUGAAAAGAUCCUCACCCUACAGAAAAAUGCAAAGAUAGCAUUUUAAAACCAAUAAAAUGGCAAAAAUAAAAAAUUCUGACAAUAUCAAAUAUCGGUAAUACAAAAGAACAGAAAUCUACACUAUACACUGCAUAUGAAACGGUAAAUGAUAGUCAUAUACCAAAACAUAUAUAUGAAUGUAUGUACAUAUAUGUGCAUUUCUAUUCAUGCAUUAGGAUGAAUAGUGAUUAAUGACAGUAGUGAUCCCUAGAGAUGAAGGUAGGGGAGGAACUUAAUUACAUCUUAAAUUACUGUUCUGCUCUCCCAAAGCCGUAAAAUUUUAAAAUGAUUCCCAUUCACUGAUUGCCUUAUACUUAUCAGGCAAUGUGUAUGAUAUACUUUACAUCUUUUGUUCUUCACAACUCUAUGUCGUAGAUAUCAGUAGCUUCUUUUUAUAGACGAAUAAACUAUGCCUCUGAGACAUUAAAUAAUUUACUCAAGAUACACAGCCAGCUAGUGGCAGAGCUGGGAUUCAAAGGGCUUUCUAUUGCAAAGCCCAAUCCUGUCUCUCCAACAGCAGCACAAUAUGACCUAUGACAUAAUGUUUGACAAUAUUAGAGCAUUCUUGGAAAUAUUUCUGGUUUUCAUAAAAAUAUCUCAAGAUAAUUCUGGAAUGGGAAGAAGAAACUAGGAUGACAAAAUGCAGAGUAACUUAGGCAAAUGAAAGCUAUAGACAUCUCCAGAAAAACAUACACAUGAAAUUAUGCAUAUAAUUUCAGUGGUUCACUAAUGCCCUAGGAGCACCCACCAAAAGGCCUUUGGAUCCCAGGUUAAGAAUGUCUCUUCGGGUGCUGGGGGGGGGUAGGCCAUAUUCAAUUACAAUAUUUAAAGGACCAUCCAAAUUUCUUUGACCAGAGCUAUACUUUAUCGACUGUGUAAAUGUUCCAAACAUUGCUCAUGUUCAAAAUCUUUUGCUUUGCCUCAGUAAAAUCUACCAACAUUUUUACUAUAAUGAGCUCUUUGUUCCAGAACUGUAUAUAAGAGAAGUAAUAAAACUAGUUAUAUGAGGCUUGUAGAAUUAAAUUCAAUAGGACAUCUUGUGUGUAAAGAACAAGGAACAAUAGACAUUAGGUUUAAAAAAAGAUGCUGGAACUUUUCUACAUCCAGAAACAAUAACUAGUAAGUUCUAUCCCACCACUAUGUCCAUAUUUUCAAAAAUGCACAAGAUUCAACAUCUGUAGUUUUAAAAUAAGAAAGUGCCACACAACGCAUUAGCUUUUUUUUCAUGUGUGGUAGUCUUUCUCUUUAUAUGUCAUUCUCAUUUUGGAGUGAUAGUUCAUGUCUUUCCUACUCUCUAGUCUUCUUCAAUAUUCCCUUAUUCUGCCAUUUUUAUCUUUUAAGCAGGUGUAAAUGUACAAGUAUUUAGAUAUACAGAUUACAUGGUUUCUAUCAACCUUGCUAAUGUUGAACUAAUACGUUUUCUUCCCCUCAAUAAAUAUAUCUACACUGGUUAAUUAUCUUGUGGUUUUCAAUUGAGUGUUUUAUUACGAAUCUUUAGAUAGUAAAAGGAAACAAUGUCCACACUGUACCCUGAAUCUACCUAGCACACUGUCUCUUCAUUUAUUUUACAAACAUUAAUGUUCCUAUGAGCAGUAACUGUACUAUGUAGAGAAUGGUUUUAGUGGACACUCGUGAGAAGACUUCAAAAGUUACACAAAUGUUCUGCAACAUCCUAAUUUUUCUUAAUGAUUAAUAAAGCAUGUCAACGUUUUUAAAGCUAUUUAUAUUUUCAGCCUGGGUAACAACUGGGGAGAAACUACAACAUAAAAUGACUACUUGUAAGUUUGGCAAUUAAUAUUACCUUUCUAGGCCUUAAAAAAAGAAAAAAAGAUUUCCUAAAACUAAUAUACAGGAGUAUUCAAAUUUGUAGACUAUUCUUUAAGUAUCAUCUAGGUUUUGACCAUAGCCAUAAUUGAAUACAACUGUUUGUCCUAAAGAUUGUCCAUAUGCUUCAACUUUUUAUUUUCACCUAGAAAAAAGUCAGUGCACUGGAAAGACCAGAUUUAUUUUUAUCUACAAAAAAGCCAGUGUACUGGAAAGAAAAGAUUUUGAAAUUUGUAAAACCUAUAUUUGAAACCUGGUUCUGUAAACAAUCUAAGUGAUUUUUGCACAAGUCAUUUAAGUUGGCUCUCUGAACAUUUUUCCUUUGUAAAGCAAUGCAAAAAGGCCUACCUCAUAAUGUUGUUCCAAGGGUGAAAUGAGAUAAAACAUCUCCAUUACCUAACAGAGUACUUCGCAAAUAAAAGAUGCCCAAUCAAUAGAAGCUAUUCCCAGUUUCUCAGCUCUUGGAAAAUAAGAGCAUGUGUUUCCUUGAAUCCUCAGCAACACAAUAAUUAGUGUUAAUAGUGUUACACAUCACAGAAAGUCAAUGAAUCCCAGUGACCUCCUUAGGAGGAAGUUUCUAGCUUUUAGGCAAGAAACUUUUUUUUGUUUGUUUGAGGCAGCCCUAACUCCAGUGGGUGUAUUCAUAUAAUUUAUAUGAAAGUGUUUUAAUGAUUUUAAAAAUUCCUUUAAUAACGUUUCAAACAGCUUCCUAUGGUUCUCAGAAUACAAUUCAUACUCUUUACUGCCUUUACGGCCUGGUGAUCUAUUUAGUCCCAGCUUAUCUCCCCCACCGCCUAUUAAGGCAUUCUAGCCACACCUGCCCUCUAUCUAUCUGCUCAACUACUACCCUAAACUUAUUUCAGUCUCACAGCUUAUCUUCCACUAAUUGCCUCCCCCAUCUUCACAGGCUGGGCUACUUAAAAUACUAGGUUAAAACGUGGCCUCCUGAGAGUCCUUCCCUUGAUUACUCUGCCUCCCCAUUACCCUACUGUACCUUACUCAUAGAAUACCUCGUACCACGACGCCAAAUUCUUUUGUUUUCAGGUGAGCACAGAGACUGCGCAUUUUGCUUUCAGAAGGAUCCCCCGGGCCUACUACGGUGACUGGCAUAGAGAAAGCGAGUGACCCUGGGCUACAACUUCUCCCGAGGUCCACCUCCUGGCUCUUAGCUGCAGCCUGGGCCUCGCUAAGGUCUCCCAAAACACAGCCCCUUCCCGGGUGCUGAGAGCAAGCAACCCUUUUCCCCCGAGAGGACUCCUGCAGUUGGGUCACGGCCACGGCGGGGCUCUGGACUCUUGGACAGCAGGGACUGGGGCGCAGAGAACUCGUGUGGCCACAGCUGUUCGAGGCUUGGGGAUGGGCUUGGGGAACGUGCGCGUGAGCCGCCAACCCGGCGAAGCCCGCACGGCGGACCUGAUUGGACUGGAGAGCGGGGCAGAACCCGGUGGCGUCUGCCUCCCCGACCCGAGUAAUUAUCACGGACUUGGGAAGUGAGGUAUCUGGCAAGAAGGUGGGCCUCCUCUCAAAAGCAGCGAGAGAAGGUUCAGUUUUCCCGGAAACGACCUCCAGGGAACUGACUGGAAAACUCACCAGAGUGCGUAGACUGCAAAGCGACGGCGAGAAAACCCGACUGUAAGGAGGAGCAGCCGUCAGAAGAGCGACAGCGCGCCGAGCUCGCGCAGCCGCAGAGGA